rnacentral:lncRNA from 1 species
GGAGGGGGUGCGGAUGCUGGGCUUAGCUGGCGGGAGUCGGCGCGGUGUGUGGGGGUGCCCCUUCCUUCCUUCCCCCCCCAUCUCCUCCCUCCUCUUCCUCGGAGGCCCGCGGGGUUUAUUUUGGGGUCUCCGCGGGACCCAGCGCCGGGGCUCGGGGGGGUGAACCCCGAGCGGGGCACGACCCCGCCGGCUGCGCAAGCCUCGGGAACGCGCCUGGCCGCGCCAUGACAACCCGCAGCCCCGGCUGCUCCCGAUCCCGCAGCAUCCCUGCCCCGGGGCCGGGGUCUUUGGGGGCCGGGGUCCCUGGGGCCGGGGUCCCUGGGGUCGGGGCCCCUGGGGCAGGGGUCCCUGGGGUCACCCCCCGCCGUGCCCGGGAGCCCCUCGCUUCCCGUUUCGAGGCGUUUGGGGAACGCCGGGCUCGGGAGGCGAAGCCCGGAGCGGGCAACAAAAGGGGAUGAAAGGAGCUCGGCAGUUCACUUUCCGUGUCCGAGAGGCAUUUUCGUGCUCCGGAGCGAGGAGGGCUCAUCCUGAGGAAGUUCAGAUCAAAGGGGACAGCAUCCCGGACAUUUGCAUAAUUGCCGGAUUUCGGAGCGCGGCCGGGCGAGCGUUUGGCUGGCGGACCCGGGCACCGCACCGGGGGCUGCCCCUUGCCUCGCCCGGGGCACGGCAGGGGGGGGACCCCCGGGGGGUGCCGGUGGGGAGCGGGUCCCCGCCCCGACCCGGCGACAUCUGCGGCGCGUCCCCUCCCCGGGGCGGCUGCCGGGGGCUCCCGGCCCCGCGGCUUGCCCCGCCGCAGGCGAGCGGGGAUAAAGGGAUUAAAGGGCACGGCAGGCUCGCACAGCCGGGCGGGGAGGCACCUCGCAGAUCCGCGGCCCCCUCCGGCCCCCCCGGCUGCCCCCGGGCACUUCCCCCGGUGACACCGGGCGGCGCCGGCCCCAUUGUUCCCAUAAGCGCCGUGCUGGGGGCGCUGGGGCUCGCCCCGCUCCGUGCCGGGCGGGGAUGCCCGGGGACACCGUUUUCAGCCAUUUUAGAGCUGAAAACGCCGGCGGCUCUCGGGAGCGGGGAGGGCCGGGCCGGGGGGGCUGCCCCAGCCCCAAGCAGGGGUGCAACCAAGCCCCUGCCCUACCGGAGCCGCCAGCCCGGUGCAGCCCGGCCCUGGGGCAGCCCCGGGCGCGGCGCAGCCUCCCCGGGGAGCGGGGGCUCGUCCCGCACGGCUUGGCCCGGGAUGGCCAGCGGGGAACCGAGGAGGCGAGGGGAGGUUAGCGGUGGACGGCGAAAGACCAGCUGCGAAAUGCCCCGCAGCUGUAGCCAGUGCUAGAACAGAGUGCCUUGGAACCAGAAAUCAAUGCUCCUGAAAUGAACAAGUGGACAACUUAUUAGGCUCAGUCACUCCACACACCGUCCCCUGAUAACGAAUAGAUGAAGUACGCGCCGGAGAAAGGAGGCACUGGAGGAGGCCACACGUGCCCGCUCCUUGGCGGCGAGGCAGGGCAAUCCCGGGGGCACAGCCGGCCGCACGGGUGGCCCUGGGCAGGGCAGGGGCUGCAAGAAGGGGUUAGAUGGUGAUAAAAAGCAGCGGGUGCCCAGGAGAACGGCUCCACAAGUCAUCGAUAAAGGUGUCCGGCUUGCCGGCUCCUCUCCAGCAAGCGCGGCAGACAGGUUCGGCGAGCUCCCGUAACCGUGGCGUCUCUGCCUAGAAACAGCAGCGCUAAUUUUUGCAUUUCCACCGUCCGCGGGGAGGAAAAAAUACCUGUCCUCCCGCAAUGCAAAUCGCUACGCAAAUAGAUCGGCGGGCGCGCACGGAGCCGCCGCUGCCAGCCUGACCUCCCGGCGGGGAGUCAGCGGCCGGGAAUGAGCUCGGGCAGGCGGCAGCAGCCCGCCCAGGAAGCACACACCGCCCUGCGAACUGCUCGGCAGCCGCUCGCAACUCGCUGCCGGCUGGGGAAGGUCCGAGGGGGAGCCUGCGGCUCGCCUCCGAGGCCUUCGUGCAUCCCCGGAGAGCAGCGCCCCGGCGCUAAGUGCGAUUAACGUAACAGGCACUAAAAUAGGAGAGAGCGGCGCUGAAUUUAAUUUGCAGGCUUAAAAAAAAAAAGGGGGGGGGGGGGGAAAAAAAUAAAAUUAAACCUUGGAG